UACGUAGGGACCAAGCGUUGUCCGGAAUUAUUGGGCGUAAAGAGCUCGUAGGCGGUCUGUCGCGUCUGCUGUGAAAACUCAGGGCUUAACCCUGAGCUUGCAGUGGGUACGGGCAGACUAGAGUGCGGUAGGGGAGACUGGAAUUCCUGGUGUAGCGGUGAAAUGCGCAGAUAUCAGGAGGAACACCGGUGGCGAAGGCAGAUCUCUGG
rnacentral:rRNA from 1 species